AUCAAGAAUGGUUCAAGGGUUGGGGCACAUGAUGUGUGAGGUGGGGCUGAAGGAACUGGGCUUAUUUAGUCUAGCGAAGAGAAGACUGAGGACGGAAUUGAUAAGAGCCU